GAGCCAGCUGAGGAGGUGUCAUGCAACUUGCUGCCCCAGCCCUCCCCUUCUAAGGAACUCCCACACCUGCCCUGUCUUCCUGCUACAGUCUCUGAGAAAAGCCCUUUCAUCUGUCAAGAACUACAAAAGUCAUUCUUUAAGCAGUGCUAAAUAAACAAUGAAACAGACACAAAGUUAAAGUUACCUGAUCCAAAAAGGAGUGAAGCCUAGACCCCAGCCCACUGACUCAGUCUCUAAGUCCCCUCACUCAAAUCUUCAAUCAACAGUGGAGAUGGCUGUGAGCUCUUCUGAUUCCAGAUGACAAUACUCCUGCCUUUAAUUCCUUGAUAUGUUUAAUUAUGUAAGUAAAUUUAAUAUAAAAAUCA